AACUAGAUCCGGUUCGGUUCAUAAGGAUCCGGUUUAGAUUAAGUUUAGUUGAAAUAAAUCGGAUCCGAUCCAGUUGAUAUUUUUUUAAAACUGGAUCCAUGUGGAUCCACUUUAAAUCCAUUAAAAGUUUAACCACAAAAUAAAUUGGGUCAUAUUGGAUCCAAUCAAAACCCAAUUAAAACCCAAUCAAAUACCAACACAAUUUUCUAAAAAAAAAAGUCAAAAUAUUAUUUUAAUUAAAAGUUUAAUCGAUAAAAAAUUUUCUCUCAGAUUUCACCCCAAAAAUUUCUCAACCCAUCGCCAUUCCCCACCUCCAUCGCCGUUCCUCGCCGCCGUAUACCGCUCCUCGCCGACCGCCGCCGUCUACAACCUCCACUCCGCUCGCCGCCGUCAACAACCCGCACUCCGCUCACCGCCGUGAACAACCUCCACUCCGCUCGCCGCCGUGAACAGCCUCCACUCCGCUCGCCGCCAAGACCUUCGCCGUCGCCUUCCCGCCGGAAAAUAAGGCCUUCCGGUGGUUUGAGGCCGCGGAGACCGUCGGAAAAUGUUAAGGAACUGAGGAGAAGCAAGUCGGAGCCAACUCCGGGGAAUCAUUCCGAGGUGUCAAGAUCAUUCCAGGUGAUUCUUGGUUUGGAGUUUAUUGUAAAGUUAUGGUCUUUAGUCUUUACACACUUUGAUAUAGAUUGAAAUAGAUGGAGAAUGAUGAUGAGGA